UGGAUUUAAUAAUAAUAAACUACAAUAAAUAUAAUACAGAUGACAUUAUAAUUUCGAAGUUUAGGUCAGCAUUUUAUGAAAAUUAAUACACUGAGAUUUAGUUCACCAUAAGUUUAACACCCAUGAUAUUUGUUGUGUAUGGACCAAAUUGGAGGCACUGAACGAAUGGAUUUCAAAGGAUAUCCUAUUUAUUUGAAUCAUUGAAGAAUAAAAAUACAAAGUAAUUGCACUACAAUUAUAAUCGCUCAUGAGAUAACGAGUAAAUUUUAUCAAGUUCCAGCAGGUAAUCGAUAUUCAAAAGCUUUGCGUUUUGUUCUACUCUCAUUCAUAUUUUUAAAAGUCUCCGUGAUUAAAUCAACAUUCGACAGAGCGAAAUAACAGAGCCUAUAGUCCAUACAGUACCUUAUCUUAUAACGGUCUAAUUGAAAAAAAACCAGCACAGUGGGGUCGCGGCAUAGUAGAGACGUUGCAUAAUUGGGUCCAG